rnacentral:miRNA from 1 species
CUUGGCACUGUAAGAAUUCACAGA